rnacentral:lncRNA from 1 species
CUCUCGUCCUCUCGAGUCUCUUGUCUCGUGCCGAUCCACCUCUUGGAGCUCCACCUCACUCUGGGCUCCACCUAGCUCCUGAAGCUCCACCUCGCACUGGGCUUCCUGCCAAGUAAUAAUGUCCUCUACUCCCCAUCUUCUCCUCCAGCACAAUCCUAUCACCGCAUAGCACCCUCAGGAUUCUUUCACCAACUACUGUCCCGUAGCCUCUCGAAUCCAGUCUACUAAGUGAGAUUAGUUCCGCCUGAAAUUGAGUAUGUAUCGGACCUCCCCUAAUCUCCUCACUGCACCGUCAUGUGUCCUCUCGCUGACCGUCCCAA